UGGCUCAGUGGUUAAGGGCACUGGUUGCUCUCCAGAGAUCUGGGUUCAAUUCCCAG
rnacentral:tRNA from 1 species